rnacentral:rRNA from 1 species
GGUUACCUUGUUACGACUUCACCCCAGUCAUGAAACACAAAGUGGUAAUCGUCCUCCCGAAGGUUAGACUAACUACUUCUUUUGCAUCCCACUCCCAUGGUGUGACGGGCGGUGUGUACAAGGCCCGGGAACGUAUUCACCGCAGUAUUCUGACCUGCGAUUACUAGCGAUUCCGACUUCAUGGAGUCGAGUUGCAGACUCCAAUCCGGACUACGACAUUCUUUAAGGGGUCCGCUCCACAUCACUGUCUCGCUUCCCUCUGUUAAUGCCAUUGUAGCACGUGUGUUGCCCUACACGUUAGGGCCAUGAUGACGUUGACUUCGUCCCCACUUCCUCCCGGUUGGUCACCGGCGUC